AGACUAGUUCCUCUUCAUGUUGUCGCCGGUACCUUCACACCGUUGUCAAAUUAUUCACCCUGGUUGCCGAUUCCUUUCGGUCAAUCAAACUUGGACUUGGACGGUGACUCACAUUCAGUUACUAAUCCACCUUCUCUCUCACCUUCCUCGUCUCAAUCAUAAACCCAGUUGAGAACGAUCUAUAAUCGACCUUCGGAAAAUGGCCUCGAUGUUGGUGUUUAUAUGAUACAUUGGAAGUAUGAAUGCUUUGGGACUUUCGUUUUCUCGAUAUUUAAUUGCUUGCAUUUUCUUCUUAAUGGCAUUUCAUGUUUGCAUGAAGGCUAUAUUGGUGGGUCAGGUGGGACAAAGUCCAUUGUAGAAGCAGUUGAAGAGUGGGAGAACAGCGACGCUGUUAUCAGUUGGGACGAGGGUAUUGUUGAAUAUGACCACAAAAACCCAACCUGAUUAGAUAGAGCAUUCUAUGCUUCCAUUUUCCAUUAGAGCUUUUUCGGAUCAGAUAUGGACCAAAUUCUUGCUUCUCAUUGUGCUUUAAUUCCAGUUGAGGUUGCUUCCUUUCAAUGAGCCAUCAACAGCUACUUUUUCAUUUUCUUCUUGUAGUACCAUCAAUUGCUUAACCUAGAAAACUUCCCGUGAUUAAGGUAAGAUUUUCAAUCAAGUUUAAUGCUUAAUUCCAAUGCCUAGAGUCCAUGAGCUCUUAGAGAUUUGCAACUUCAGAAGAAUGGGGUUUUUUCUUUUAAUUUCAUUGCUCGUGGGAUGGAAAUACUUAAUUGGUACUUAUUUGGAUUGCUUAUUCUUGGAAUUUGUUUAAAUUUAAAGAUCUUCGCAGAAUUUUAUGAACUUUGCAGCUUGCAUACAAGGUGUUUGUAGAAAUGUGCAAACCAAAAUGGCUUAAAAGAAAUGGGUUCAAACCAUUUUCACCUCGGGAGAAGUUUGAUUCAGUUUUACUUGGAUUCAAGAUUUUAGAAUCCAAACAUGAUUUUGAUGGAUGUGUCCACUGCUUAAGUUCUAACCUUAGAUCAUUGUUUUAUUAUCUCAAGAGUCUUUCAAAUAAUUUAAAAGCACUUUAAAAUUCUUAAAUAAGUGGAUUUCUAUUUGAAGAGUUUAUUUAUUGUUUGAUA